rnacentral:rRNA from 1 species
UAACGCGUGGGUAACCUGCCUCAUACAGGGGAGUAACAGUUGGAAACGACUGCUAAUACCGCAUAAGCGCACAGGAUCGCAUGAUCCGGUGUGAAAAACUCCGGUGGUAUGAGAUGGAUCCGCGUCUGAUUAGCCAGUUGGCAGGGUAACGGCCUACCAAAGCGACGAUCAGUAGCCGACCUGAGAGGGUGACCGGCCACAUUGGGACUGAGACACGGCCCAA